AAGAACAGACCCUAAAUGUAGCUGUUAGAACAUAACCUAAUAAUUAGACACUUAACCUGUAAGGAGCGUAUGUGUAAAGAGAAGCAUUCUUACAACUAGAUACAAAUUUUGUGAGAUCUAUUUAUUAUAAAUUGUUGAUUAUAAAUUUACUGCAACUUUAUGAUUAAGGCAAUGGCAUCUAUAAAUGAAUUCGGGCCUGAUUCUGGUGGUAGAGUAAAGGGAGUCACUAUUGUCAAACCUAUAGUUUAUGGUAAUGUAGCACGUUAUUUUGGUAAAAAGCGAGAGGAGGAUGGUCAUACGCAUCAGUGGACUGUGUAUGUAAAGCCAUAUCACAAUGAGGAUAUGUCCACUUACGUUAAGAAAGUACAUUUCAAGUUACAUGAGAGUUACAACAAUCCCAAUCGAAUUGUAAUGAAACCACCAUAUGAAUUGACAGAGACUGGCUGGGGAGAAUUUGACAUUGUCAUUAAAAUCUACUUUCAUGAUCCAAAUGAACGUCCUGUAACAAUAUAUCAUAUAUUGAAGUUGUUUCAGUCAACACCUGAGAUACAAUUAGGUAAAAAAAGUUUAAUAUCUGAAUUUUAUGAGGAAAUAGUCUUUCAAGAUCCAACAGCACUGAUGCAGCAUUUGCUAAGUUCCACUAAAACUGCAACUCUUGGAGUUUGGCGACAUAAUACAGACUUUGAUAAUAAUUACAUUACAGUUGAGGCAAAAAAGGAAUCUACAAUGAAAGCCAUUAUGGAGGCACGAAAUAAGAUAAGAUUUGAAGUGAUAAAUCUCAAGGAGAAAUUGACCUUGGCUAAGGAAACUAUUGCAAAAUUCAAGGAGGAGAUUGCAAAGAUUUCCAAAGUCGGUGGAGGUUUAUCUGUCACGUAAUAAUCGCCAAGAAACAGACAUUGAUGUCUGGAACCGGGAGCUCGUCAUCAGUCUGAUCACCAAAUCACAGACUCACGUUUAUUCUCGUUUUGGCCAGUGCAAAGUUGUCUUUUUUAUGAUUCUAUAAAGGAACUUAUUAUAUGGAAACUAUAUGGAACUUAUUAUAUGGAAACUAUAUGGAAAUUAUAUGGAACUUAUUAUAUGGAAACAAGAUGACGCUGGCGGCUGGCCGAUUACUCGCCGUCAUUCAAAUGUUACGAAUCGUGUGUGAUUGAUUCGCAACUUGAAUUCAUCCGAUAGUCAUAUGUAAAUUUCAUCUAUCAUUUCAUCUUAUAUAUAAUUUCUGAUCAAUGUUUCGAUUGACAAGAAGCUAUGUAUUAUCGCAUCUCAACAAAUUACAUUGUUUUAUCAUUUGA